rnacentral:lncRNA from 1 species
CAGACAAAAGAUAGACAUCUCAGCCCACCAAACUAAACAGUUCAACUACCAUGAAAGAUUAGAAUGUAAUAAUUCCCUAGACUUGACCCUUCCUGUUUAAUAUCAUUAAUAAACAGUUAUUCCUUUAUUUAAAAGUGUGGUGGCCGUGCUGCUACAUCCCUUCUUUCCCAAAGCAAAGAUCAGGUGCCUGCAUCAGACAAUGCAAGAGUGAGAUGACACAUCUCAGCAAGUAAAAAAAACAAACAACAGUUGGACAAUGCAAGCCAACCGUGCAUAAGCAACCACAUGGUUCCCCACUUCUUCCUUAAAUAUUAAUUUGCAGCAAGUAAGCAAGUAAUCAAUUACUCAAUGCCAAGAUGAAUUCCAAAGUAAAGAUCCACCUUAACCACAUCACCAAAAUAGGUUCCACACUUCACCCAUGAAUGCACAUGGCUACAGAUGCAACAUGACUUCUGCCUUCAUACCUCUAAGGAUAUGAAGCUGCAUCAUACCCCUUCUCGGGAAACAUAUGAUGCUCAUUUGUACCGGUACGGUCGGACCAUAAGAUCGCGACGAAAACUUCAAUGCAAUGGAUGAUGAAUGCAUUAUGCAUGUCAACAACAUGAGUUCUUCCCAAAUAAAAUGUGCUAGACAUAUACUUCCACCCAUUUCACAUCAAUAACCACAUGGGUAACAUGAUCAAACCACACCCUCCACAUGUAUAAUCAAUAAAGCAUAAAUAAUUUCAAACGAUGGUACCCAAUUAGGAAAAUGGAUACGAACACAAAUAGCACAAACAUAAUCAAGUAUGAGCCUCUUCAAUCAAAAGACGAAAUAACCAUCACUGUUUUACUUGCCUUUACCGAAGUUAGGGCAAAAUCCCUAAGAACGAUCCGGAAGUCCACCACCUUGGGUUCUCCCCUUUUCCUUCCUCACUUCUUCCUUCCACCAAAAUGAUUGGAGAUUCGCACCAAAAGACGAUGAUCCGAGCGGCACGGAGUAGCACCUAGGGAGGAGGGGAUUGGGGGGGGGGCGGCUAGGGUUUUGGUGGCUGCAACAAUGGAGGGAGGAGGAGGUGGAGAGGGGGGGCGGCGGCCAAGGGGAAAUGAGGAGUGGGGGGGGCGGCAGCCUUGAGGGGGAGUAGAUAGGAGGGUGGCGGCUAGGGUUUGGGAGGCCUAAUGGGCCGAAACACCAAUUGCGGCCCAACUAACCCACGCGACAGCUCCCGACCGCAACGCAAAUGUCAAACCAAAAAAAAAUCUACUGCCCUAGUUGCGAAUGUUAUUCACAAAAUUCCAAAUCCCCAAAACAACAACUGGA